rnacentral:lncRNA from 1 species
UUUGCCUACUUUUUGCAUGGAUACUCUCAGAUAAGUAGAGCAUUUCAACUUAAUGUAUUUACUUAUAUGAAACCUGGCUAUGAUUUUCUAUCUCAGCAUAGCUUUAUAUUAUAAUUCAUUGCUUUUGUUGUUUAACCCUAGGCCAGAUUUGGUUGAGCAGACCUUGAUCAAAGAUAUUCUGGCCAUGACCACUUUAUCCUUUUAUUUCAGAUAUAGUACAUUUUGGACUACUUUAUUCAACCAAUUGUUCUUUUUUCUAAUAUAAUAAAGUAUAUGAUUAGAGGUUUGGUUGCUUUUUCUAGCAUGUUGAACAACCACAGAGAACCCCUACUUUAUUUACUUGGUAUCAGAUCCUUAUUAGUUUUCUUGCUUCAUUUCUGUAACUUAAUCUACAUGAUGUCAUUUAGCUCCAAGUCACUCAGUCCUGAUUGAACAAAACUAUAAUCAACACCAUUCCUGCCAUAUACCAGGAACUACAUUGUCCAUUAUGUCUUUUUAAAGAAGAGGAAAGAAUCUUGGGAGUAUAGCUGGUAUUUGUAACAGCUCAAGCUAUUUUUUUUAAUUCGGAAGAUGUCAAAGACUUCUUGAUAUAAACUAAUUACUAUCACAUCAAUUAUUUUGAUUUCAUUUCAGAACUUAAGUUUUUCUUUAAGUAUUCUCUCAUUCUCUCUGUUCACCUCUUUUUUUUUUUGUCAUAUAAUUAUUUCCAUUAAAAGGAUAUAUUAAUGGCCAUUAUAUACUACUAAUUAGUUGUUGCAGGAACUUCUUGUGACAUAUGAAAAUAGCAGUUUGAUCGAUAGAUAAAGCAGUGCCUUUAUGUGUCACGUCAAGUUGACAUGAUUUUCUGAACCUUUUCAUUCCAAUCUUUCUGUGUAAGAUUUAUAACCUUUCAUCCAUUGAAAAAGAAGUGUAAUUGUCAAUAUACUAGAAGUUGGAGGUACAUGGCCUAUUGGUUAGAGUGUUGGACUCAUGAUUAUAAGAGUGUAGUUUUGGUUCCUGAACUGAGUGAUAUAUUGUGUUCUUGUGCAUUAUACUUCCGUUCACAUUGCUUCUUUCCACUAAACUGGAAAAAAUGAUUUGUCCUGCAAUGGACUAGCAUCCCAUCCAGGGGAGAUAUAUAUAUGCCAUGGAAAUUGGAAAACCAGUCUUAUGAGUCUGUAUGACUGAGGUAAGAUAUUUAGCCUUUAUCCUAAUUUCCUAAGGUGCUCCUCCCAGUUUUAAACACUGACUUAUCAGGGGAUAGGCUUUUAUUUUUAAGCUAAUAAAACUGUAUAACACAAUUUUUGUCCUUGGGUAGCAACUAUUAUUUCCUAUUUGCCUGCCCCUAGAAAGUAUGAAAAAUGGCUGAUAUUUCCUUCAAACUUUGCCUUUGUUACAUUUAUUUAAACCCCAAAGAAUCCCUCUCAACAUAUGGCCAUGAUGCUUCCCCACUACUCCUGCUCAUGAUCAGAGAUGCACAUACUGUCAGCCACUAAAGGAUAUGCUCAAGUGGUUAAAGUCAAGCAAGUGAUGAGUGAAUCUGUGAUAUUGAGCAGAAUAUUUGUUAUAAUGAUAUUUCUGCUUCAGCAACUCAGACCUGAAUCUAUCUGAAAUGUAAUGGAAAAAAGGUCAGUUUCAAAACAUUGAUGUCCAGGUCACAAAAGUAAAGUUUGAAGGGAAUAGUAGCCAUUUCCUUUGAUUUCUAGAUGGAAACAAAUAAGACAUAACACUUACUGACUGAAGACAAAAAAAUUUCGUUACCUAGUGGUUAAGGUGGUGCUCCAGCAUGUGCACAGUCAAAUUACUGAAAGAAGUAAAAGAGUAAAAGACUAAUCCCAAAUCCUUCUGAUUUGUCACAAACAAAGAGAAAUGAGCUAGGAAGUGGAAAAGAUAUUUAACCUUUUUGAUAUCAGCCCACCUAAGAUUGCAUCUAGUUCUAUGAUACAGAACUAUUUUAAAGUAUUUUUUUAAAAGUCUUUUGUUUGUUUCAGUCAUUGGACUGCAGCCAUGCUAAGACAUUGCCUUAAAGGAUUUUGUCAAACAAAUUGACCACAGUAUUUUUUUUUUAAGUUUGGUAUUCUUUCCAUCAGUCUCUUUUGUCAAAGUGUCAUGUGGAUGUAAACAAAACAACACCGGUUGCCAAAUGGUAGUUAGGGACAAUCAUCAAGACAUAGACAGACGGACAGACAGGCAGACACACACACACACACAUACAUACAAAAGGGUCCCGCAUAGUUUCCCCUCUACCAUAUCCACUCGUAAAGUAUUGGUCAACCCAGGGCUACUGUAGAGGACACUCGCUCAAGAUGCUGCAGAGUAGGACUGAACUUAAAAGCAUAUGGUUGCAAGGCAAGCUUUUUAACCACACAGCCAUGCUUGUGAAUGUAUAUUGCCUGUAUGUUGUGUAUGUAUGUAUGUUUGAAGGUUGAAAAGCAAAGUAGCCUUCAGAAGAAUAUGAACUCGCAAUAUAAGAGGUAUUCUGCUAAGUACUGUGAGACAUUUUGCUUGGCACUCUAUUGAUUUUUGCCAAUUCACAGCCUUAGGAGCGAUGAAAAACAAAACAGAAAAUUAAUGUAAAAUAAAACCAGGAAAAGAAAAAGAGGAAAAGAAAAAGAAGUUAAG